rnacentral:rRNA from 1 species
AUUGAACGCUAGCGGGAUGCCUUACACAUGCAAGUCGAACGGAGUGGCGAACGGGUGAGUAAUGUAUCGGAACGUGCCCAGUAGCGGGGGAUAACUAAGCGAAAGCGUAGCUAAUACCGCAUACUAUUGGAGCGGCCGAUAUCGGAUGAGCGAGUUGGUGGGGUACCGGCUCACCAAGGCGACGAUCCGUGGCUGGUUUGAGCGGACGACCAGCCACACCGGGACUGAGACACGGCCCAGACUCCUACGUGCGGCAUCAGUGGGGAAUUUUGGACAAUGGGGGCAACCCUGAUCCAGCCAUCACGCGUGUGCGAUGAAGGCCUUCGGGUUGUAAAGCACGUUUGGCAGGAAAGCGGUACCUGCAGAAUAAGCACCGGCUAACUACGUGCCAGCAGCCGCGGUAAUAC